GCCGUCUCCGGCCCCGGCCCGAGUCACGUGGUACAAACAUGUCUGCCCCCAGCAGUUGCGGCCAUCUUGGCGGCCCCGCGGGGAGCAGAGCGGCGCCAUGCUGGACCCACCCACCGAAGCCUCAGCCCCUAAGCAGCUCCUCAUCAAAAGGAGCGAAGAAAUUGAACCCGGAGAGCUCCGCGGAGGGUGGGGCAGCCCACCCAGCUCUAGCUCCACGUGCACACCGUAGGAGCUGCUCAGAAUUUUGGCUCCGUCUUCAACAACAUGCUCCUCUCAUAGCCUUUUCCUGUGUUGGUUCCUGCAAACUUCAUUCUUCUGGUUGCUGGAUACAGUAACUAUGGAAUCAUUCUUGAUUACCGUAGUGGGUUGAAUAGUGACGCCCCAAAAGCCUUUGAGAGAUACCCAGAAUGUGACCCCUUCCACUCUCUGCCACCACCACCUGCUCUGAACCACCAUCCUUUCUCACCUGGAUUAUGGCAACAACUUGGCUUCCUGCUCCCACCCCAUUCCCUAUCUAGUAUCAACCCAGCAGGCACAAUAACAUGUCAUUCUCCUGCUCAAACUAAAGGCUUUACAACCCAAAGUUCCUAUCCUGGGACUUCUCUGGUGGUCCAAUGGUUGGGACUCCCCACUCCCAAUGCAGGGGGCCUAGGUUCGAUCCUUGGUCACAAAACUAAGAAUCCCACAUGCCAGAGCUAAGGCUUUGUGGGCAACUAAAGAUUCUGCAAUAAAGAUCACAGCCAAAUAAAUAAGAAAAAAAAAAUUAAGUGUGAUGAAGAGAAACACAGCAAAGGCAGUGGGUAGGGAGUGACUCCAGCCUGUCUCCCCAAAUCAGGCCACUUCCUUGUCUACCUGGUUUGAUGCUGAGAUGCCAAUGCCUGGAACAGUGCCUGAGUCGUGACAGGUACGCAGUGAGUAUUCACUGAGCGACUGAUAAAUUCAUUCCUCUGCCAUCUCCCUAAUCCUCUCCUUUCACAUGAGGAGCUCCCACCACUCCCCUGAGGCUAGUCCAGCAAGAUUAUAUUAGUAAACAUGCAGUCAUGGUGCUGUAUUUCAGAAGGUGACCCUACCUGCUUUAACAGGAGGCCUCCAAGGAGUCAGAUUUGAAACAAGACAGAAGUAGGUGGCUCUCCUGCACACGCAGACGUGGGCAACCCCGUGGCCACACUGUUCACAAGGGGCUUGUUACUGUAUAGAGAGCUGGGAGCAGGGGAGGAGCUCCGUAGAGAUGGCACACCUGCUUCUUAAACACCUGGGCGCAGAAGUGACACACACCACCUCUGCUCACAUUCCUCUGGUGAGAGCUAGUUGUGCUGCACACCUGGAUACAAGACGACCUGCAAAACGUGGCAGCGGGCGAGGAGCCAGCUAUGUGCUCCGGAAGAGGGAGAAUGAACCUGGUCACGAGCUGUCUGCCCUGCCAGAGAUACAGCGUGGAGAACACUGGAUACAGGACGCCAAGGAGUGAGGGCGGCGCAGGAGAAACAGCUGAGGUUGCCCAGGAGAUGGAGUAGCCAAGGAGGGCUCCCCAGAGGAGGUGGUGCCGAGGUGAUUCAUGAAGGAUGAAUAAGAACCUGCUGGGCCAAGAGGAAGGUGACUACCCUGGAGGGACGGCUAUGUGCAAAGGUUGAGAAAAGAGAGCAUGUCAUAACUCAUUCCAGAAAUUGCUGACCAGUUGGUGUUCCUGGAGAACAGAGUUGGAGGGAAGGAAGCAGGAGCCGAGAGGAAACUCAUGCACAAAGGCUGGCUGGUGGUGUGUCCUGAGUGCCUUUGAUCCCGAGGCUGAGGGAGCCUUUUCCUGUUUCCCUGCUAUUGACAGUCCAGAUCCACAAUUGAGGGCAAAGAGUGUGGAGGAGCUGACAUUUAGGGGGACUGGGACACCGGCUAAGACGGGUGAGACCCGGCCCUGUCUCGGCGCAGGCAGAAGUGGCAGGACUGGCCCCGCCACCCGGCUCACCUCCACCGCACCGAGGAGAGGGGAGACAGAAUUCACGGGGCCACAGGGCCGCUGGGGAUCACUGGGCUGCCCCCCACCCCGGUUACCGAGGUGAGGGGGCUCUGUGAGACUUACAGCUGGGGUGGGGGGAACAGGACCCAUGGGACUCUCCUUUCCUGGGGAAUCUCUGAAUGGAUCCUGCCCUCCAACCCCUGGCAGGGGCAGGAGAGGACUCCCGAGAGGAGAGGAGGCUACAGGGUGGCUGCUUGCAUACCUGCCUGGCCUGGGCGAGGCCACCCUGUAGGCUUUUCCUGGAGUCAAGAGGUCGGUCCAAAGGGCAGCAGCUUGCUUAAGCCACUGUAUCAGCGAUCCUUCACUGCAAAACAAAACACCCCCAAGCCUAAGUGACGAAAACCUGUGCUCACCUCUUAUCUCAUGACUCCUGUGGACCAGGAGGUCAUACAGUGGGUCGUGAGCAUGACCCCUGUAUCCUCCAUGCUGCCUGGGCCACGGCAGAGGGACACGGCUAAGGGAUGAGCUGAGGGUUCGCCUGGGGCUGGUCACACAAUGGUGCUGGUGCUGACACGUGCACUUCUCUCCACGCGGCCUUCCCACGGGGCUGCUCGUGUACGCACCACGUGGCAGCUGGCUCCCGCCGGAGAAAACCACCCAAAGGCCAAGGUGACGCUGCAAUCUCUGACAUGACCAAGCCUCACAAGUCAGCCGCCAUCACCUCCACAGAACUCGGUGGGCUCGCACGGAGUAGCUCUGACUCAGUGUGCAAGGACCACGGAAGGACGUGCAGCCCUGGCAGGAGAAUCAUGGCUGUCAUGGAGGCUGCAGACCACGGCUCUCUUGCUGGCUCUGCGGCUGGGAGGGCUGGCCAGGGACAGGGCACCCGAGGAGGAUGAGCUGGAGAGGCAGAAGAGUUCUAGCCUGGCCGGCUCUACCCUACCAUGGACCCAGACGAGGGGAAGGCCCACAGAGCUCUGUGGGUAGCUCACCCAUGGCCCCGCACAGGUGUCGGGGCUCCCAGAGCAUAGAGAAGCAGCCACGACCUGAAGGAUCUGUUCAAAAGACGCCCUUCCCCCACGGCGCUCAGCUGUCACCUUUGCCAGAAGUCAGAUGACUGUAGAUUUAUGGGUCUAUUUCUAGACUGUCCUGUUCCAUUGAUUUGUCUGCCCAACUUUAUGCCAACACCACACUGGAUUAAUUACUAUACUUACAUGGGAGGUCCUGAGAUCUGGCGGGUAAGUUCUCCAACUUUCUCCUCCUCCCCUUCUGGAAGGCCUUUGCGAUCGUUGGCCCUUUGCAUUUCUAUAUAAAUUUUAGACUCAGCUUGUCAAUUUCCACAUAAAAAUUCUGCUAUAGACUGGAAUCAUAUCGCAUUUAUGAUCCACUUGGGGAGAAUUUUAUUGAGUUGUACACUUAACGUAUUAUUUGAAUGCUUUUUCAUAUAUGUGUUACACUUCAAAAUAUUUAAUGCCAUUAGGAAAUCUGUUAUCCAUGGCACAUGUGUGUUAAGUUGCUCAGACGUGUCCAACUCUUUGCGACCCUAUGGAUCAUACUCUGCCAGACUUCUCUGCCCAUGGGAUUCUCCAGGCAAGAAUACUGGAGUGGGUCGCCAUGCCCUCCUCCAGGGGAUCUUCCUAACCCAGGGAUCGAACUCAUGGCGUAUUUUGUAUUUAUGUUACACGACAUUGAGAUUCUUCAACCGAUUAACAUUAAACUUCUUUCAAAACUUUUUCCCCAA